ensembl:piRNA 21ur-1073 ncRNA
UUUGAGUUAUUGCAGGUGUGU